GACGGAGGGUGCAAGCGUUGUCCGGAGUUACUGGGCGUAAAGCGCACGCAGGCGGUCUGCUAAGUUUGGAGUGACAGUUGGUGGCUUAACUGCCAAAGUGCUUCGAAAACUGACAGACUUGAGGGCUUCAGAGGGACACGGAAUUCCGGGGUGGAGUGGUGAAAUGCGUUGAGAUCGGAAGGAACGCCCGUGGCGAAAGCGAGGUCCUGGACGCCAGCUGACGCUGAGACGCGAAAGCCAGGGGAGCGAACGGG
rnacentral:rRNA from 1 species